rnacentral:lncRNA from 1 species
AGAGCUUAUCUCGUCAAGCAAAAAUGUUGCAAUCUAUCUUUAGUGAGAAAUUGCGACUCCAAGAAGAGAACCAAGAAAACCUUUUGAAUCUUCUCAUUUUCCUGAGGUAGUCGAGUUUGAUGCCAUCAUGAAAAGAUAGCGACAUAUCUAGAUGGAAGAAUAUCUAACCUGAAGGGUUUGCCUCACAAGAUCAAGGAGGGUGAAGAAUUCAAGUACACAUGAUUCAUGGUCCUAAGUUGUUCCAUUUCCUCAUUUAAUU